CAACAGGGCCGCACAACGGGGGCAAGUGGGGCAGCUCUUGGAGGGGGCAGACGAGGGAGGCACACGUCGCUGGAGUGCAUAUCCUGCGGAUAGUUUCAAACAAACUUCCAAGAAUAUUUCUUGAGCAAUUUAAUCGUGAAUUGGAUGUCUGAACUGCUGCUGUUACUACUUGAAUAUAUUGUACGAGUAAUAUUUAUGAAUGGAAGCAUAUCAGAUCUUCGAAUACAGAGAAAAAAGAGAAAUUGAGUCAAAAUCAUCAUCAUUAAUUCAAUUUUAUGGUAUUUAAUCGAGAUCUAUUCACAGGAGGUGUAAAGUAUAAAUCUUGAAAGUUUGAACUGAACAUAGUUGUUUGAUCAAAGGCAACAAAGAGUUCUAUACUUCUUCAGAGUUACAUUUAGAUAUUGGUUACAUAAUUCCUUAGUCAAAUCUAGAACCAAAAAAAGCUCAUAUAUGUUUUCCGAUUCGACUAUUAUUGGAAUGAUGGAUCCCGCAAAGUCAUCGUAAAAUUUAUAGAGAACAACUUGUUUCUCCCCAAACUGAAUGGAUAUCCCAUUUUUAUUUGGGAGAAUCUUUUCUCAUCAAAAGUUGGAAGUACUUCGCGAUUCGAAUUCCUUUUCGAUAAAAGUUGUUAUCGCAUGUUUGUCGAGGCUCAAAAACUCUUUCCCAGUCAACAUAUAGCCUUACGCUGCUAUCUGAAUUCCCGAAUAGAGCUAAUCCCAUGAUUCAUGAUAUUCAAUCGAUGCCAUGACUGAAAAUUAUUACAGACCAACAACAGAGCAAAAAAAAAAAAAAAAAAAAAAUUGGAAAAAGUAAAGCCGCUAAAUCAAUAAAAGUUUCGAUGGCUUAAUACGAACCGGAAAGCGCCCUUGCGCGGCUCUCAAUGCCAGUUGGCGACAGUCGCUAAGUCGCUAAGCUCUACAAAAUAUGCCGACAUUCCUUUUCUUUCUUCUGCCUUCUGCCUUUUUUUUUGGUACUUUUUUGGGAACUAUUUUGUUUGUUCUGUGUUGCAUUGGCUGGUUGAAGGCAUUUUUAUUGACUUACUUUCGAGUGGGAAACGCAAAACUUUUGCGCCCAACUAUUCGCAACUUUUUUCGCACUGUUCAAAGUGCUUAUAAUAUAUAUACAUGUAUAUACAUAUAUAUGAAAAUAUAUAUGUGUACAUACAUAUAUUUGGCGAUUACAAAUGAGAUUUAUUCGCCAUUUCCGGCUGCAUUAGAGGAAGUGCAUUGCCAACUCGAGUGUGCGGCCAUAAAAAUGCCAAACGGCGCGUGGUUCGAAUCGCGCACCACAAAACCUUUUGCUCACUAGCUGUGACACACACACACACACACAAACAGAAUCACACACACAUAUUCUCAUACAUAUAUUGCCUGCAUUUUUGUCGCAUUAACCAACUAUUUUCUUUGCUCUUUUCGUUUGGCCUGGACGAAGUUGUCAACGCAAAUGGCGCGCCGCAGGACCACGCCUAAUGCACUUUUGAUAGGCGCCCCGGAGACCGCCGAGGAGUGGACCACAGAGAGGCAGAGAGAGGGAUGGAGAGAGGAGACAUCAGCAGUUAGCUGAAUGUCCAAAACAGCAGCCAUUGAUAAAUUAUCAUGCAGAGGAGAUUUUUCGAGCCGUCAUCAGGUGCAGCUGCUUGAUAAAAAAAAAAGAUAGAAGCACGAAAAAAAAGAAAUUUUAAUCUAUUUUAAAUGUGGUUUAUGGUACGGUGCGACCGGAUGAUGGUUCACAACGACCGUACAGUUUUUUCAACGGGUCGGUGGGACUUUCGUCCGUUUGUAACGCCAUUUGUCAACGAUUUAUCAGCAAAUCAGAUAUCAGCAAUCAAAGGUGUUUAUUUAUGGCUUCAACUGUUGUUCAUAAUUAAUUAGUUAUUAAUAUGCGUUCAAACAGUGCGGUGUUUAAUUUAAUAAAGCUCUCUAAUUUACUUAUA